rnacentral:rRNA from 1 species
AUUGAACGCUGGCGGCAGCUUAACACAUGCAAGUCGAGCGGGGUGAUGGUGCUUGCACUAUCACUUAGCGGCGGACGGGUGAGUAAUGCUUAGGAAUCUGCCUAUUAGUGGGGGACAACAGCUCGAAAGGGAUGCUAAUACCGCAUACGUCCUACGGGAGAAAGCAGGGGAGCACUUGUGACCUUGCGCUAAUAGAUGAGCCUAAGUCGGAUUAGCUAGUUGGUGGGGUAAAGGCCUACCAAGGCGACGAUCUGUAGCGGGUCUGAGAGGAUGAUCCGCCACACUGGGACUGAGACACGGCCCAGACUCCUACGGGAGGCAGCAGUGGGGAAUAUUGGACAAUGGGGGGAACCCUGAUCCAGCCAUGCCGCGUGUGUGAAGAAGGCCUUAUGGUUGUAAAGCACUUUAAGCGAGGAGGAGGCUCUUUUGGUUAAUACCCAAGAUGAGUGGACGUUACUCGCAGAAUAAGCACCGGCUAACUCUGUGCCAGCCGCCGCCGUAA